rnacentral:rRNA from 1 species
CUACGGGAGGCAGCAGUGGGGAAUAUUGGACAAUGGGGGAAACCCUGAUCCAGCGAUGCCGCGUGAGUGAAGAAGGCCUUCGGGUUGUAAAGCUCUUUCAGUGGGGAAGAUAAUGACGGUACCCACAGAAGAAGGACCGGCUAACUUCGUGCCAGCAGCCGCGGUAAUACGAAGGGUCCUAGCGUUGUUCGGAAUUACUGGGCGUAAAGGGCGCGUAGGCGGCUCGUUAAGUCAGGUGUGAAAGCCCCAAGCUCAACUUGGGAACUGCAUUUGAUAUUGGCGAGCUAGAGAUCGGAAGAGGUGAGUGGAAUUCCUAGUGUAGAGGUGAAAUUCGUAGAUAUUAGGAAGAACACCAGCGGCGAAGGCGGCUCACUGGUCCGAUACUGACGCUAAGGCGCGAAAGCGUGGGGAGCAAACAGGAUUAGAUACCCUAGUAGUCC